rnacentral:rRNA from 1 species
UACGAAGGGGGCUAGCGUUGCUCGGAAUCACUGGGCGUAAAGCGCACGUAGGCGGCUUUUUAAGUCAGGGGUGAAAUCCUGGAGCUCAACUCCAGAACUGCCUUCGAUACUGAAGAGCUCGAGUCCGGGAGAGGUGAGUGGAACUGCGAGUGUAGAGGUGAAAUUCGUAGAUAUUCGCAAGAACACCAGUGGCGAAGGCGGCUCACUGGCCCGGUACUGACGCUGAGGUGCGAAAGCGUGGGGAGCAAACAGG